GCCUUGCAGCUCAAUCGAUAGAGCAUGAGAUCUCAGGGUUGUGGGUUCGAGCCUCACGUUGGGCA